UGUCUUCAUAGAGACAACGAUGUCCACCUUUUAUAGGCAUGCAUUUUCCUGCAUGCUGAUUCAAGCCUCAAAGUCACUACAACCGUUCACAUGGUCUGCACCAUGACCAAGCUCCACGCCACCAAGCCAAAAAUAGUUGCGUGAACCUCUCCUUGCCAAUUGCCACAUCCUGGUCAAAAUUUGAUGGCACCACCAGCCAUCCAAGCUAGUCUUCCUUCUCUUUCUAAUCGUCACUUGACCAAACCAAGCAACAUGCAACUCAGUUCUCUAGCCCACCGAACAUCUCGCAUGACAUCCGUGACCGAUAGGACCUCAGUUCCUCCCUGAACUUAGUCCCGAAACCUCAGUUCCUCCUUGAACCUAGUUCCAAUCCAUCAUCGACCACGUUCUGCCUCAAGCUAACACCUGCACAUGAACAAACAAGCGACAAGUACGAGCCCAAGUCCAAGACUUGACUCAAGUCAAUCCGCACAACACCUCACACGAGCAUGUCAUGCAACAAUUCCAAAUCACCUGCUAUCACAACCAUAUAUAGACAACACAUGCAUAUCAAAUUAUGCCAUAAUUCAAAUCUCUUUGCAAUACCAAUUUCAUAUCAAGCCAAUUUUUCAUUACAUGAUCUCACAAUCUCCCCCUUGAUGAAAACAUUGGCAACACCAUUUAAAUAAUGAACAUUGGCAUUUACAUCCACCAAAUUAUUUUUAAAUCAAUGGCAAAGUGAAAAAAUAAAAAUAAAAAGAUCAUAUCAAAAGAUCCAAAAAGAAGAAAUGAUUUGAAAUUAUCUCCCCCUUUCUUAUCUCUCAAAAAAUCACUCAUGUGAACAUGCAAUGGGUAAAACUCUUUCUCCCCCUUUGACAAUGGAUUCAUCAAGAACAUAAAAGACAACAAAAGAAGGCUAAACACGACACUAAAGAUGAUAACUCCCCCUCAGCAAAUGUUAUGAUAUGAGGAAAAUGCAAAGCUUCAAGAGUACAACAGUCAAAGUAAAAAGAUGCUCUAGUUGGUGUUGUCAUGUGUGUAGCAACAAGUACAAGCCAUAGCAAAUGCUCAAAUUGAUCAACUGAAAAAUAUGAUACUUAAGCAUUUUGAUUUAGUUUUAAGUAAUUCAAAGAGAUGUUCACCAAUGAUUGUAGCACAUAGCAAGUAUAACCAGGAGAUCAAACUUGUGCUAACACAUGCAUACAAAAGUGAACUACCCCAUAUAACGGUCAUACAUCAUGUCUCAAAGACUCACUUAAUACUUGUGGUUUCCAAAGUUUUAUCAGAGUUUGCAGCGGUUCACAAGUAUUAGUUAGAACAUGUGUAUGCGAGUGGUUAUCCAAACUGUCCGCCAAAAUAUAAUUUUUCUUUUCUUUUCAACCACGCCAAGUUCAUCCCUUAGUGCAAUGGGAAGCCGUCUCAUCACGAGUGGUUGUGGACUACACUACAAGGCUCAAGUUCAUCCCUUAGUGCAAGUGGGAAGCUGUCUUGAUACCUUGACGUGGGACAGUAAAGACCCAACUCGAUCUUUCAUGAUUACUUAGCUUGGAUUUCAAGUUUUAGCACAAGAUUAUCAAGUUGUCCAAGUCAAGUGCAUGACUCAAGAAACAUGAGACAUAGCAGCCUAGCAUACAUAUGAAAGCAACAUGGAUCUCAACACAUCCUACACAUGCUAGUUGCCAUCUCAAAUGGUGAACAUUUUCAAGUCUCAAUAGUUAUUAGUCAAGUUCACAUGUUAGAAAAUAGGCUCAUCUUAUAACAUGUAUCAAUGUGAUCAAAAGGAGCCUAAGCAGGAAGUACUAUCAUGUACGCACAGAACAUACCAAAGAUAGCAUAGUUUUAUUCUAACAGUUAUAGUCAUGAAGCUCAAGGAUGUUCUAUCAUACAUGAUGAGAACUAAAAAUAGAAUUCAGCUCAAACUCUAGAAGCAGUUAGGUGGUUUAAAACAAAUUCUUGGAAACCAGAAAAAAAGAAAAAGAGUACCAUAUAGAGAAUGCAAAAUUGACUAUGUACGAGAAUAUAGACUCGCCGUCAAAACAAUCCAGAUGGAUGUAACACCCCAAGUUCUCCCCGU
rnacentral:lncRNA from 1 species